AAGAACAGAGAGUGAGUUAGACAUCUUCAACCCCAAAGAUAGAAAAAGUGAGGUGAUUAAAAUCAUGAAGUUUCAUGAACUUCCCCCAGCACAGCUACCAGAGUGAACCUUGUAAAACGUCACUUCCCUGGGAAAUAGCCUCUGAGACUCCAUGAUUUACAUGGAAGAGAAGAGCUAAGAGACGCUCUUACUGAUAAGAGCUCUUAGGAACACCACCUCUGAUAGAGAGGAAGCAGAGACUGAACAGAGGAAGAAAUGGGGCUGUGGUGCAAGCACAACAGAGGACUUAGCAGAUCCCAGAAGUAGCUCUGGAGCUGAAGGGCUAUUUGGAGUUAUCCCAAAAUAAAGAACAAGACUGGACCUUUGUACCUCCA